rnacentral:rRNA from 1 species
CAGCCGCGGUAAUUCCAGCUCCAAUAGCGUAUAUUAAAGUUGUUGCAGUUAAAAAGCUCGUAGUUGAACCUUGGGCCUGGCUGGCCGGUCCGCCUCACCGCGUGUACUGGUCCGGCCGGGCCUUUCCUUCUGGGGAGCCGCAUGCCCUUCACUGGGCGUGUCGGGGAACCAGGACUUUUACUUUGAAAAAAUUAGAGUGUUCAAAGCAGGCCUUUGCUCGAAUACAUUAGCAUGGAAUAAUAGAAUAGGACGUCGCGGUCCUAUUUUGUUGGUUUCUAGGACCGCCGUAAUGAUUAAUAGGGAUAGUCGGGGGCAUCCGUAUUCAAUUGUCAGAGGUGAAAUUCUUGGAUUUAUUGAAGACGAACUACUGCGAAAGCAUUUGCCAAGGAUGUUUUCAUUAAUCAGUGAACGAAAGUUAGGGGAUCGAAGACGAUCAGAUACCGUCGUAGUCUUAACCAUAAACUAUGCCGACUAGGGAUCGGUGGAUGUUUCUAUAUUGACUCCAUCGGCACCUUACGAGAAAUCAAAGUUUUUGGGUUCUGGGGGGAGUAUGGUCGCAA